GCAGUGGUGGGUCAGUGGUAGAACACUCGCCUUCCAUGGGGUAGACCUGGGUUCGAUUCCCAGCCGAUGCA
rnacentral:tRNA from 1 species